rnacentral:rRNA from 1 species
GACGAACGCUGGCGGCGUGCUUAACACAUGCAAGUCGAACGGUGAAGCUCCAGCUUGCUGGAGUGGAUCAGUGGCGAACGGGUGAGUAACACGUGAGCAACCUGCCCCUGACUCUGGAAUAAGCGCUGGAAACGGCGUCUAAUACUGGAUACGAGAAGGGUCCGCAUGGGCACUUUCUGGAAAGUUUUUCGGUUGGGGAUGGGCUUGCGGCCUAUCAGCUUGUUGGUGAGGUAAUGGCUCACCAAGGCGACGACGGGUAGCCGGCCUGAGAGGGCGACCGGCCACACUGGGACUGAGACACGGCCCAGACUCCUACGGGAGGCAGCAGUGGGGAAUAUUGCACAAUGGGCGAAAGCCUGAUGCAGCGACGCCGCGUGAGGGAUGACGGCCUUCGGGUUGUAAACCUCUUUCAGCAGGGAAGAAGCGAAAGUGACGGUACCUGCAGAAGAAGCACCGGCUAACUACGUG